rnacentral:rRNA from 1 species
UACGUAGGGUGCAAGCGUUAAUCGGAAUUACUGGGCGUAAAGCGUGCGCAGGCGGCUUUGCAAGUCAGAUGUGAAAUCCCCGGGCUUAACCUGGGAACUGCAUUUGUGACUGCAUGGCUGGAGUGCGGCAGAGGGGGAUGGAAUUCCGCGUGUAGCAGUGAAAUGCGUAGAUAUGCGGAGGAACACCGAUGGCGAAGGCAAUCCCCUGGGCCUGCACUGACGCUGAUGCACGAAAGCGUGGGGAGCAAACAGG